rnacentral:sRNA from 1 species
GGAAAGGGUUUCAUCUUUCUGAACAUUCACCACACUGGUGUUUAGCUCUUACUCUACACAAAUCCUUUUUGUGUGAGGAAGAUAAGGCUGUUGGGAGAGUCAAGUAAUUGAAUGAUGUGAAUUUCCUGGAGUUUCCAUAAGUUCCUGUAAAUUUAGCCUCCAACUGAAAUAAACCAAUUGGUACUCUUGUGAAAUUCAAAAUUAUGCUAUCAUCAGCUAAGCUGAAUGAAAAGAAAUUAGACAUGAAAGUCAUAGGCAGCCCUUUUUAAAAUUGUAUCUUUUAUAGAAACAUCAUUAUAUGGAACAAUUGGAAGAAGCAAAUUUAUUUGAGUGUGCAUUUUUAAGACAGUUCAACAAAAGCGUAACUAGCAGUACAAAAAAUUCUGAAUCAAAGACUAUCCUCAGAAUAUGAGAUUAAAAUCCACAUACAAGCCAUGAAAUAAAAUUCAGAAGUAUGAAUUAUAGCAUAACAUACAAUUGAUAUUCAAACCCAUUAAAAUAAUAUCUAAGAUUAAUAAAAUACUACUUUAAACAACUUAUCAAAAUCAUCCAUUCUUUUGUAGCAUGUCUUUAUAGUUGCAUCAUAGUCAUCAAAUAUAAGUAACAUUAAACAUUUAAUUACAAGUAACUCGUAACUCUUUCAGCCCAGUGCAUAUGCCCAGCUUUUUACUUAAAUUUGUAUUUAGUUUCACUUAACCUUUUAACCUUUUGAAUUAAUAGCAAAUAUGUCAAGGCAUUAAUAACUUUUUUUUUUUUUGAGAUGGAGUCUUGCUCUGUCACCCAGGCUGCAGUGCAGUGGCACAAUCUUGGCUCACUGCAACCUCCACCUCCGGGUUCAAGUGAUUCUCUUGUCUCAGCCUCCCAAGUAGCUGGGACUACAGGCGUGUGUCACCAUGCCUGGCUAAUUUUUGUAUUUUUAGUAGAGAUGGGGUUUCGCCAUAUUGGCCAGACUGGUCUCCGCCUCCCAAAGUGCUGGGAUUACAGGCAUCAGCCACCACGCCCAGCCCUUAAUAACAUUUUAUGUAGAUUGUGUUUUAACAUUUACCAGGCCUAAAUAAAAUGUCCCUGCUUUGGAAGAUAUUUUGUUUUAAGCAUAAAAUGAUGAAUUAGCAAUUCCCUAUAAUAAAGUGAUUCAUAUUUAUUACUUAAAAUUUUUUCAUAGCAAUAGAAAUUCAAGCAAAACGAUCACAAUAAUCUAUUUUAAAAGUCACUUAACGACCAUAUAAGGAUCAGAAUUGACUUUUGAUGCCUAGCUCCUUGUAUUGAUUUCCUAAAUUAUUCUGAUCAAGAACAGCCAUUAAUCAGAAAAGUCUGAAGAACAUUAAGAUCUAGUUUUUCAGACUACUAUAAUAUUCUAAAAUUCCAAAAAAGAAAGAACAAAGAUUCUAAUUUCAGAGGCUUUUAAAAUGCCUAAUUUCGGUAGGUCUCAAUUGUAAAGAUUCCAUUUUAACAGCAUGGGUAAAAUAAAAUACGUUUUGCUAGCACCUACUGCUGCAGAUGUGCAACUGAAGUACAAGAAUAUACUUUGAAAAGUGUAAAAUGGCAUGUAAAUAAAAAGUAUUAUAAAUCACAUUUCAUAAACUCAGUUGAUCAAGAAAUGUAAUUAUAGUUUUCUAUAAAAUAAUUUUAUUUGGAGUCCAGAUUCCUCCCUGUGAUAGAACUUAAUCUAGGCAAUUCACCACCACUCUCCCCAUUCUCCUAUUUCCUACUUAUGGAUGUGUUCACAGAUCAAAACAAUGAGUGCACAGUGUAAAGGUGUACUUUGCCGGGAUCGUUAGGUAUGCCCUGAGCAUCUACUGAGGUGCCUCUGGUCACAUCGUGCCUUCAAUCUUAGUUCAUGCACAUUAUUCUAAAUCAUCUGUCUUUCCAAACCAUCAAGUCAAGCCCAGCUUUUCCUAAUACAUUAGUAUCCUUCUGUGGUCCACAGGACUAUUCUUUGACAAGCACCACUAAAGUCUGUGGAGUCAAGUUUCUGUCUAUUCCUCUGCCACUUGUGUGCAUCUUCCACCCCUCCCAGGCUAUCACAGGUGCCCAGAAACUCUGCCAAGUUUUCCUAAGACCUUCUCUACUUGGGGCUUGUUUCCUGAUGCCAUGUUGCUGCCUCCCUGAGCAUUACCCUGAAAUGAGGAAAAAAUAAAGUCCUGGGACCACUUGUACAUGCACCCUACUUAGAAUUUCUGUCUCCAUUCCUCCGGCUCAGGCUGGGAGAUGUAGUGUGAGGCCCUUCUUCUCAGAUACCCACCACUGUCUAAACUCUACUAUAUUUGUCUUGAUACCCUCUUACCAUGUUGUUACAGAAUCUCCUUUAGCCUCAGAGAAAGAACACCUUGUUCUUAUAAUAGGUAAGAACUUUAAUCUGCCAAAUCUAUAUUAUCAAAAAAUCCUCUACUUAUUAACCUCAUUCAACUCAGCAAUUCAGGCAUAAUUGCAAUCAUUUUAGGCUUCUUUACCCAGGAUUGCAUUAGAUUUCAAGAGGCUGUGCCAGGGUGGGGAGGACAACCAUCUCAACGGAGACUUCAGCUACAUUUAACUCCAGUAGGUCCACAAACAUCAGUCCAUGUAGGUACAAUUAAACCAGCCCUUUUCCAACUGCAGGGCUUCAUCAGAAACUCCUGUCCAUUCAUUUACUUAUAUGACUUGGUCAGAGACACAGGGGCUCAUUCUGUUAUUUGGGGCCCAUACUGAAGCAUGAAACUUCUGCACCCCAUCUGUUUAUCCCUGACCAAACAUGUCUUACAGCCUUCUUUGGGUCCUGACAUUAUCUGUGCUUUAUUCAGAAAGGGAAGGACGAGUCAUCUAUGUCCCCAAAUUGCCCCAAAACAUUAUUGCUUCACCCAGGCCCAUUCCUGGGAAGCAAUGGCUCCCAACACCUUUUCCUUAGGAAUCCAUCCUAUCUACAUAUUUAUUAUUUUGUGGCACAAUUAUUCUUCUUCUUAGAGUACAGGAGGUAAAAAGGAGCCAUAACCCUUGGCUAGCAAUUGGAAUUGGCUACUUGAAUGUGAAAAUUCAGAAUUAAUGUGCUUUGUUUUCUCUGCUUUCUGUGGUCUUAUCCCUUUUCUGAAACAACGAAGGUGAAUGCUGAGCUUCUGAAUGAAGAAAGUUUCCGUAGGAGAAGGAAACUGUUAAAAAUAAGUUAUAGAUAAAAAUUCAAAGUAUCAUGCUAUUGCAUCAUUAUUCUCCUCUUUAUGUGGGUUUUAGUUACUCCACUCAGAAACAUAAAAUUUAUUUUGUAUUCAAAUUGAUUAGUCCUUUUAUUUUCUUUAUGAUUUUUACCUUUGGAAUUUUUCAUGGGAUCGGUAACCUGGUUUACAGAAAACAGUAUUAAAUAGGUUGAGGAAAACUAGGCUACAUCAAGUAAACUGUCUUCCUUUUAGUUCUUUAAUAUUAAGGAAUAAAAAUGCAUGGCACACACAAUAAAGACCACACUAAGUAGAUGAUAAAUAUGAAGAUUUGUAUAAAUUGUAAGGUUUUAUAUAAAUAUUAUAUUAUUAUAAUCUGAGCGCCUAGGAAAUAUAUAUCCUCAGUGAUCUAAACAGUAUUAUCAUUGUCAGUAGAAAAGGGAGAGGAAGCAUUUACUAGUUUGGAUAAAAUGAAAAAAAAAAAAAUAUAUAUAUAUAUAUAUAAAACUGCAUCUUUUUGUUCCAAACACAAACCAUCCACAAACACAUCAAAAGUGUUUUGAUUCCUUACCUGUGCAAUAGAAUAUAUAAGAAAAUGUAAUGUUCCCAGUAAUUCGGCAUGUAACAAAAGCUAUAUGUUAUUUAUCUUUAGCUACCGUUGUUCUUUCAACUUGGUCAUAAAAUAUAUAGAUCUAGUCACUAGUAUAUUGUAAUUUCUCUGUAUUGACAUUGUUAUCUUGUAUGCAAAAUACUGUCAUAUUGAAUGUUAUUCCAAUGGUAUGUUUUUAACAUUUGAAAAAGUACAGGACAAUGACAGGAGAGCUGGAGUCAAAAAUCCCUGAGCAAACAAGGAUGUUCACCUCCAUCUCCAGCACUGAAUUGAAAUUGCAGGCUUGACUAAUCACUUGCUAUUUGAGUCUUGAGUCUUCCGAAUUAUAAUGAUAAAGAUAAAGUAAAAAGCACCUGAAGCAGACAUAGCAGGACUUUAAUUCCAAGACUGCCCUGUUUUUUUUUUUAAUAGCUUUAUAAGUUCAAUGUGCACUUAGCUUUCCUUAAGAAUCACUUAUCUACUAGUUAAUUUCCAAUCCUCAAGAAAUGCAGAGAAAUUGGGAUGGCCUUAGCAUAAAUUCUCCUCUUUCACAAGACGUAACUAGAAAAAACCCAUAGGACAAUUGUGGUUUUUGAAAUAAAAGUAAUCAAAUUACACUGAUAAAUAAAGAAAUGGCAAUUUAUGUUUGAUGAGGUAUACAUCUUUAUAGAAUGGAUUGAAAAAGAUCAAUAUUAACAUGAUCUAGACUACAUAAAACUCCAAAUUUAUUGUGUAAUUAUAUACUUAAAUAUCAUACCAACACUUUGUUUUGUUCAUUUUUAAGGUUACCAUAGUUUUAUAGAAAAAAAAAACCUUAUAUUUCCUCUUUCUUCCAGAAUGUAAGACAUCAGACCCUAAAGAACCAAAGUUGUUAUUUCUGUGGAAGACCAGCCAACCUAUUCUUACAGCUGAAACUAGGAAUCUGGCCUGCAAACAGUGUGUUAAGGCAUUCUCCAAGUUUCAAAACAAGAGUAUACCAUUUUGAAGGCCUAUAAAUAGAAAGAAUUUUUCAAAUGUUAAUUCAGUAAUGACCGCUGUCUUUGGAAAAGAUAAUUGCAAUGUGUUACUGCGAACCACUUUAAACCUGUAUUUCUCAUUGCAUUUAAUAUUUAAUUUUAUUUUUUAUCAUUAUAUAUCAACAGUUCUUUCUGGAGCAAAGCAAUCCUAUUUGACUUUUUUUUAAACCUUAUAGUGCACAUACACGUAUGUGUAGGGUUAUUUAAACAAGGAAACAUUUACAUCAAAAUGUGCAAAGAGUUAUCCUGGAAUAGAAAUGCUGAAAAUAUAUUUUCAAGAAGUUUUAAAAUUCUAGGCUGGCCUCAAUGUAUUCAGUAGCAUGUCAGAAACAGAAAAAAAUUUAAUCUCUCCAUUUGCUUAUUCCUAUUAACAUAUAUAGAAAAAAAAAGUUGCUCUAAACCUAAUGCCUGUGCAAUAUGUUUGUUUCCUGAUGCUGAUGGUAAAUCAUAACUGGGCACUUGGUUAUAUUUUUUUAAUAUUCUACAUUUCUAGCACUGCUACUGUGUUCGCAAUGAGCUUUAUAUCUGACAGUAAUUUUAUUUUCAGGUUCAGUCAUAUGAUGCCUUUCUAUACGAAUAGGUUCUAUCAGAGGAACAAAUUAUUCAAAUCUAGUUUAACUGACUCAGCAAUUCUCCUCAGUUUUAUCUUGGGCAUUUUGUGUUCCUUUGCCUAAACCUAGUGGCUAUGUAACAAUUCAAUUACCAAAGUCCUUCAUCCAGAAAGUGCCGUUGAUUUCCAGUAAUUCUUAUUCUGUUUGAUUUCUCUUUUUUUUCCUCCUAGUUUAACACACGCCAGUUGGUGUUGACUGCGUUUAAAAUCUUGAAAUAAGCCUGGCACUGUGUCAGUACAUAGGUUAAAAAAUGAAACAAAAAAUUUAAUAAAAUAUACACUAGAAAUGGAAAAUAAGAUUAGCAGUGGCAUUUCUUGUCAUAAGGGCAUUUUCUGUCUAUGCACACAAAAUAAAACGAGCUCAGUGCAGCUGAAGAAGAGAGGAAAGAGAGAGAUGGUAUAACUUGAAAGAUAAAAAGGCAGAGAGUGAGUGUACAGAAGCACGUUGAGAACAUGCAGUCAGCUGGCAAGAAGAGGCAACUCGAAGAGCCUCAGAAGGUAAAACCUCAGUUGGCAGAUAAAGUGGGUAAGAAGCAAGUUUUGAAAUAAAGUAGCAAUAGCAUAAGCAACUUGAAGGAAGAUGAAAAGAGCAAGGUGAUAAAAGUAUGCAAGAGUCUUUGGAGAUUAUUAGUAAUUUUAGGGAAUUACAAUGAUGAAAAGUUAUAAGGGAAAAAGACUUUACAUAUUCUUUAAUAAAAGAAAAUUACCUGUCAAAAUCUGUCUGCAUAGACACUAGUAUUAGAUUCUUGCUCUUCAAGAAAAAGGCAUGUCUGCUGGUCAAAUUGAGGUUCAUCUAUCCUUUAUUUCUCUAAAUAAUGUUUUUCUGAUAAAAUAUGCAAAUACACACAUACAUAUAUAUAUUUUGUGUGUAUAUUAUAUGUAUAUAUGUGUGUGUGUACGUACCUAUACAUAAAAUAAACACUCUGGAACUAAAAUUUCAAAGAAAGUCAAAGAAAAUAGACAAUAGUGGAAC